rnacentral:lncRNA from 1 species
AUACAGGAGUGUUUAUGGUUGGGUUGAGACACAUUCAGUAGCUGAGUGAUUGACAGCAAGAGGAGCAAGACAUGAGGAGCUGGUGACACAGUUAUUAUGGAAGGAUAACUGAUAGUCUUAAGUUAAUAAUUAUCAAAUAUAUGGCAAUGCUGGACUUUAGCUGAUCAUCGUGCUUCUGGAAAACAACAAAAAUUGAGAUAUCUGUUCACCACUUUGUGUGUCCAAGGACCACCUACUUUUUACAUGUGACAAGAACUACCCACCUCCACUCUUCAGGAUAGAACAUGCUGAAGAAAAGAGUUGCAAUGAGAAAAUAUAUGGGAACAAAAUACCUAUGCAAUGCAGAAGUCUGCAUAACUGAACCACUCAGAGGAAAAAGUUUCCCUCCCAGGCUGGAGUACAAUGGCGCGACCUCGGCUCACUGCAACUUCCACCUCCCAGUUCAAGCAAUUCUCCCACCUCAGCUUCCUUAGUAGCUGGGAUUACAAGUGCCUGACACCAGGCCAAGCUAUUUUUGUAUUUUUAGUAGAGACGGGGUUUCACCAUUUUGACCAGGCUGGUCUCAAACUCCUGACCUCAGUCCAUCGGUCCACCUCGGCCUCCCAAAGUGCUGGGAUUGCAGGCAUGAGCCACCGCUCCUGGCCUCAAGUUUAAUUCUUAAAUUGCCAUUUCAGGACACCUCCUACAUCUGAGGAAAUAUGCAUUGAUCUUGCAGUACUUUUCUCCUCCAAAUAAAAGUCAGUAUGAUAACA